CCUACGGGAGGCAGCAGUGAGGAAUAUUGGUCAAUGGACGAGAGUCUGAACCAGCCAAGUAGCGUGAAGGAUGACUGCCCUAUGGGUUGUAAACUUCUUUUAUAAAGGAAUAAAACGAGGCACGUGUGCUUUUUUGCAUGUACUUUAUGAAUAAGGAUCGGCUAACUCCGUGCCAGCAGCCGCGGUAAUACGGAGGAUCCGAGCGUUAUCCGGAUUUAUUGGGUUUAAAGGGUGCGCAGGGGGAGGCACAAGUCAGCGGUAAAAUCGCGGGGCUCAACCCCGCUCCGCCGUUGAAACUGUGUCCCUUGAGUGCGCGAAGGGUAGGCGGAAUGCGUGGUGUAGCGGUGAAAUGCAUAGAUAUCACGCAGAACUCCGAUCGCGAAGGCAGCCUACCGGCGCGCAACUGACGCUCAUGCACGAAAGCGUGGGUAUCGAACAGGAUUAGAUACCCGUGUAGUC
rnacentral:rRNA from 1 species